rnacentral:rRNA from 1 species
AGCCAGGAGCUUGCUCCUUGGGUGACGAGUGGCGGACGGGUGAGUAAUGUCUGGGAAACUGCCCGAUGGAGGGGGAUAACUACUGGAAACGGUAGCUAAUACCGCAUAACGUCGCAAGACCAAAGAGGGGGACCUUCGGGCCUCUUGCCAUCGGAUGUGCCCAGAUGGGAUUAGCUAGUAGGUGGGGUAACGGCUCACCUAGGCGACGAUCCCUAGCUGGUCUGAGAGGAUGACCAGCCACACUGGAACUGAGACACGGUCCAGACUCCUACGGGAGGCAGCAGUGGGGAAUAUUGCACAAUGGGCGCAAGCCUGAUGCAGCCAUGCCGCGUGUAUGAAGAAGGCCUUCGGGUUGUAAAGUACUUUCAGCGAGGAGGAAGGCGUUGUGGUUAAUAACCGCAGCAAUUGACGUUACUCGCAGAAGAAGCACCGGCUAACUCCGUGCCAGCAGCCGCGGUAAUACGGAGGGUGCAAGCGUUAAUCGGAAUUACUGGGCGUAAAGCGCACGCAGG